UACAUGUGUUUCUCACGGACUCCUAGGCUCUCACGUCCCUUGGGACAUCCCUUCCACACGUUCAACUUCAAAGCUCCCUCAAUACUCUUACCACUACAAUUAAUAAUCUGUACAAGUCACGACUAAUCUAUCCUCUCGAUUCUCGAUCAUCACCUUCCCCUCCAAGCUCCAGCCAUGGGUUCUCCUCAAAGAGUUAAUUACCCAAGCGCCCGAGCCCUGUUAUUAGAGAAAUCGCUCGAGCUUACCCUCUCCUUCCUCUCCCCAUCGCAUCUUCUUGACCUGCCAAGGUAUCCAUGCCCCACCCCCUUGAUUUCAUAGCAGGACGGCCUACCUAACGGGAGAUUUUAAAGCACCAAGGCCUACUUGAUGGAGACUAUUUGCUGCCGACGUCGGACUCUCUGCGGAUCAUGAUCCCAACUAUGCAUCCUCCCAACCAUGUCAUCUCGGGCUUCUCUGUAGCAUCCGUCCGAGACAACAGGACCAAGAGAGAGAACAGCGGGGAAGGAGUAAUUGGCAUCUUGGAGUUUUAGAGUGUAUUGCUCAAGUUAUUCUGGUGGGGGAACUGACGGGAAUUAAUGAAAAGUUAUGUCAGGGUUACAUGAAGAGGGAGAAUGCCGGCAGCUGGAAUUCAGGCCUGGAAAAGGAGCAAAU